rnacentral:rRNA from 1 species
UGGGCGUAAGCGCACGCAGGCGGUCUGUCAAGUCGGAUGUGAAAUCCCCGGGCUCAACCUGGGAACUGCAUUCGAAACUGGCAGGCUAGAGUCUUGUAGAGGGGGGUAGAAUUCCAGGUGUAGCGGUGAAAUGCGUAGAGAUCUGGAGGAAUACCGGUGGCGAAGGCGGCCCCCUGGACAAAGACUGACGCUCAGGUGCGAAAGCGUGGGGAGCAAACAGGAUUAGAUACCCUGGUAGUCCACGCCGUAAACGAUGUCGACUUGGAGGUUGUGCCCUUGAGGCGUGGCUUCCGGAGCUAACGCGUUAAGUCGACCGCCUGGGGAGUACGGCCGCAAGGUUAAAACUCAAAUGAAUUGACGGGGGCCCGCACAAGCGGUGGAGCAUGUGGUUUAAUUCGAUGCAACGCGAAGAACCUUACCUACUCUUGACAUCCAGAGAACUUUCCAGAGAUGGAUUGGUGCCUUCGGGAACUCUGAGACAGGUGCUGCAUGGCUGUCGUCAGCUCGUGUUGUGAAAUGUUGGGUUAAGUCCCGCAACGAGCGCAACCCUUAUCCUUUGUUGCCAGCG